GACGAACGCUGGCGGCGUGCUUAACACAUGCAAGUCGAACGGAAAGGCCCUUCUUUUGUUGGUUGCUCUAGUGGCGAACGGGUGGGUAGCACGUGAGUAACCUGCCCUUGACUUUGGGAUAACUUCACGGAACUGGGGCUAGUACCAUAUAGGAGCUCCUGCUUCAGUGUGGGGGUUGGUAUGUUUCGGCGGUUGUGGAUGGAGGCGCGGGUUAUCAGCCUGUUGGUGGGGUAGUGGCUUAGCAAGGCUUUGACGGGUAGCCGGCCUGAGAGGGUGACCGGCAACAUUGGGACUGAGACACGGCCCAGACUCCUACGGGAGGGAGCAGUGGGGAAUAUUGCAAAAUGGGCGGAAGCCUGAUGCAGCAACGCCGCGUGCGGGAUGAAGGCCUUCGGGUUGUAAACCGCUUUCGCCUGUGACGAAGCGUGAGUGACGGUAAUGGGUAAAGAAGCACCGGCUAACUACGUG
rnacentral:rRNA from 1 species